rnacentral:rRNA from 1 species
UACGUAGGGUGCAAGCGUUAAUCGGAAUUACUGGGCGUAAAGCGUGCGCAGGCGGUUUUGUAAGUCUGUCGUGAAAUCCCCGGGCUCAACCUGGGAAUUGCGAUGGAGACUGCAAGGCUAGAAUCUGGCAGAGGGGGGUAGAAUUCCACGUGUAGCAGUGAAGUGCGUAGAGAUGUGGAGGAACACCGAUGGCGAAGGCAGCCCCCUGGGUCAAGAUUGACGCUCAUGCACGAAAG